rnacentral:tRNA from 1 species
GAGGGAUGCGAGACUGGUGUCUCUCCUGGUCUGCAAAACCAGUGAUGCACGAAGAUUUCGUGCAGUGGGUUCAAUUCCCACCAUCCCUC